CUUCACCGAGCCCAGCAGCAGCGGCUGUCCGCCGUCGCGGCCCUGGCCGUAGGUGGCGAGCAGGGCGCCGGCCUC
rnacentral:antisense_RNA from 1 species